rnacentral:tRNA from 1 species
GCAAGGGUGGUGGAGUGGUCAAACACAUCAGACUGUAAAUCUGACGCCUUCGGGCUUCACAGGUUCAAAUCCUGUCCCUUGCA